GCCCUAUUGCUUAUAGUAUCUGAGAUAUGGACUUGACCACCAAAACUUAACCUUGUUCACUGAUCCAUGAAAUGAGGUUGAGGUCAAGUGAAAACUGUCUGACGGGCAUGAGGACCUUGCAAGGUACGUACAUACCAAAUAUAGUUAUCCUAUUACUUAUAAUAAGAAAGAAUUCAACAUUACAAAAAUUCUGAACUUUUUUUUCAAGUGGUCACUGAA
rnacentral:lncRNA from 1 species